UGGGGAAUAUUGCACAAUGGGCGAAAGCCUGAUGCAGCAACGCCGCGUGAGGGACGACGGCCUUCGGGUUGUAAACCUCUUUUAGCAAGGAAGAAGCGAAAGUGACGGUACUUGCAGAAAAAGCGCCGGCUAACUACGUGCCAGCAGCCGCGGUAAUACGUAGGGCGCAAGCGUUAUCCGGAAUUAUUGGGCGUAAAGAGCUCGUAGGCGGUUUGUCGCGUCUGCUGUGAAAACCCGAGGCUCAACCUCGGGCCUGCAGUGGGUACGGGCAGACUAGAGUGCGGUAGGGGAGAUUGGAACUCCUGGUGUAGCGGUGGAAUGCGCAGAUAUCAGGAAGAACACCGAUGGCGAAGGCAGAUCUCUGGGCCGUAACUGACGCUGAGGAGCGAAAGGGUGGGGAGCAAACAGGCUUAGAUACCCUGGUAGUCCACCCCGUAAACGUUGGGAACUAGUUGUGGGGUCCAUUCCACGGAUUCCGUGACGCAGCUAACGCAUUAAGUUCCCCGCCUGGGGAGUACGGCCGCAAGGCUAAAACUUGAAAGGAAUUGACGGGGUCAUAGCU
rnacentral:rRNA from 1 species